rfam:Ipomoea nil mitochondrial DNA, complete sequence, cultivar: Tokyo-kokei standard
AGCGGGGUAGAGGAAUUGGCAAACUCAUCAGGCUCAUGACCUGAAGACUGCAGGUUCGAAUCCUGUCCCCGCCU